AUCGUCUUUCUCAUCUUCUUCGACAGAGAUGCAGGCCGUAAGACUAAUCCUCGGCGGCACUUAAGUAGCGUUGCCGAGCAUAUCCAACUAUGUGGAUCACAAAGCGUGGUAACAGCUAUGCGGUUCCUGAAAAGGCUGUUAGCUCCGCCGUCUUAUGAAAGCUUCACAACUAUAAAUAACAACGUUUCAGAAGUGACACCUGGCCUGGCUAACUAUCAUCCGGUCAUCGAGGAUCAAGUUAAUUCAAGAAGAAUGGAGUGUGAAGGAAAACAAAAACGAGCCUGUCACACGGCCUGACUUGUACACAUCACAAUACGAAGAAGAUGAAGACGCAAUUGGAAAAUUGUCUCUCCAUGGAGUUUGAGGAAGGUGCCGGUGUAUGUAGAUGUCCGUAAAUAUGCGUACCAUGACCUGGACGGAGUCAAUGCGCGGCCUUCGUGGAGGCAGCGCGAAGAAAAUGCGAGAAGAUGCGAGUACGAGCAACUUUGCCGAGUGCAAAGAUCCUUCAAGGACGCUCCCGCAACUUCUCGUCCUUGUCUGGUUUAAUGAGGGUCCCUAGGAACACGUGUACACUUGGAACUCGUACGCACUGAUCGUAACGCUUAUCCAGGGCCGGACUUUGCAAAGUCACAUUACGUUAUCUAUGCGAGACGACGCGUCAAAGUGUGAGUGUUCAUUCGCGAGUGAUGUCGGAAUUGAUUAUGAUUUACACGCUUAUUUAAAUAUUUGGACGUUGCGUAAAAGUAAAAUAUUUAACGUAACGCACGUAUAUAUUCAAAUUCGAUGAAAUUCUCGGCGAGGGAAGCGAGCGUCUGCAAAUCAGCUGAAAAAAUAUCUUUGGUACGUACUCUUACGAUGAUGCAAAUGUAAAUCCUAUGAUAAACACAAGUUGACUUGUGCUACAUGUCAUAUUUUUAAUAUUUUCCGCGAAGAGCCUUCGCGCAAGAAUUUUUCUACAUCAAAAGUUGAAGCUUCGUGAGCUUCGCACUUUCGUAAUGACAUUCAAAGCAGAGAAAUACACAUUGCAUAUGGGAACUUCCUCCGUUUGUUCGUUUGUGGAUACAUAUCAUUGGAUUAUUUUAUAAUCGCUCGUUAGUAUUUUAUAAAUGUUACCGGCAAUGCUGUUCUCAUGUUUAAAAUUGCCAAGACAAGUUCCCAAGAUAGAAAGAGCACUGAGAAUACAGUUAUAAUUUGCCCCAUUAUAUGGAUAUUUUCUAGUAUUCACUAGGAUUACAGAUUACGUUUCCGCAGUAUUUCCGUGAUAUUUCAGCGUUGAUACAGCCGGCAAACGUUUUCAUACCUGUGAUCGCACUCUCGCUUACAUAAUUCGAUUAUAAAAAAUGAUAGAUAAAUCGUCGCUCUCCGUAUAUUACACCGUCUUCAAGGUCAUCUAUUAUACAGAUCCUCAUAGGAAGCUGCAUUAUAUAACAACACGUUAAAUUAAAAUUGAUUCUUCAGCUUCGAUAAUCAGUUAAAGAUACUCUCAUAAUGUUAUUGUGACUGUAAGACUUAAGCCAUCCAGAUUAUGAUUGAUUUAUCAAUGCUCAAGAAAGGCUAUUAUUAAAUUACUUUUCUUUUGUGAAUACAGAAUACUUUCUGUAUACGACAUUCAUAUUUCAGGUACAUUGAACCUGUCAGCUAUUGUAGCGACUGGGAAAUAAAUAAAAAGGCAUAC
rnacentral:lncRNA from 1 species